UACGGAGGGUGCAAGCGUUAUCCGGAUUCACUGGGUUUAAAGGGUGCGUAGGUGGAUUAGUAAGUCAGUGGUGAAAUCUCCGGGCUUAACCCGGAAACUGCCAUUGAUACUAUUAGUCUUGAAUACCGUGGAGGUCAGCGGAAUAUGUCAUGUAGCGGUGAAAUGCUUAGAUAUGACAUAGAACACCAAUUGCGAAGGCAGCUCACUACACAAUCAUUGACGCUGAGGCACGAAAGCGUGGGGAUCAAACAGG
rnacentral:rRNA from 1 species